AGAUAUGCUUGCCGACUUGCAAAAAGUUAAAAAGCGCGACUUGUUGGAAAUAAAACUAGCAAGCCAAGAGGAAAAAAAACUGGUUUUUAUGCGGCUGUCACUAUAGUGGACUCGCUCGCACGCAACAUUUAGCUGUUUAAAAGUGCGCGCGUCACGUAGCCAAAUGAGAAGAUAACCGGCACAACCUUAGACAACCGGCAAUAGACCUAACGGAUUGCUUUACCACCCCCGCUGAGAAGAACAAACGAGAUCGAAUAGAGUGCUGUUCGUGUGCAAAUAUUUUCAGCAAUGACAGAAUCCCUGGAAGCGAGAACAAGAACUCGACGGCCGUUAAUGUCAAGCUUUGAGCUUAAAGCAAGAAAGAACGUGUGAAAGACAACCGACGAAAAUAAAUGGGCUGGUGAGGACAGAAGUAAACGGUUAAGCAAAAGCAAACAGAGCCAGAAAAAGACAGCUGAAAUUAAACAGCACAAGAAAAAGAGCGGUAACUUGAAUUCUACACACACACACAAACAUCACUCUCAUAUAUUUUUGCGCACUUCGCUUGGCGCACGCACACACUUGUACAAACAUUAGUCCGCUACUACCACCACAGCACGCACACACAAGUCAAUUUUCGUUGUCGUUGGUUUGCCGGCCGGAGAGUAAGCGAGAAGGCACCAUGACGCCGCGCCAAAUUCAACGGCGUCGUUUUUUGCGCGCACCCCUACUGGCCAUCAGCGCAAGCGAGACAACUGCUUUAAUGCCGCCAAGCGGUUUGCGUAUGUAGACACAGAAUUCAAAAGAAAAUUUUUCCAAACCGUUGCGGCGAACAUUGAAAAAGAUGUACACUCGAGAAACUCGCUCCAAAUCCAUUACAUCCAAUUGUUUAAACAAAAUGCACAAGCACCCGCUUUCAAGGCAAACAAAGUACUCACUUUUUUUGCUCAGCCACAUCAGCCAUUUUGAUUUACGGUUGGUUUUUUUUACUGUUCAAAAGCGAAGCGCGAAAACACGUUUAAAUUGUUGGUUUUAGUAUGCGCUAAACACGACUCGCAAGGCUCGAAGAACAACACUUAGUUUUCAACAAGCUGCAAAUUUUAUAAAUU